UACGGAGGGGGCUAGCGUUGUUCGGAAUUACUGGGCGUAAAGCGCGCUUAGUCGGACCUGCAAGUCGGGGGUGAAAGCCCGAGGCUCAACCUCGGAACUGCCUUCGAUACUGCGGGUCUCGAGUCCGGGAGAGGUGAGUGGAAUUCCUAGUGUAGAGGUGAAAUUCGUAGAUAUUAGGAAGAACACCAGUGGCGAAGGUGGAUCACGGGCCCGGUAAUGACGCUGAGGCGCGAAAGCGUGGGGAGCAGACAGG
rnacentral:rRNA from 1 species